AUUGAACGCUGGCGGCAGGCCUAACACAUGCAAGUCGAGCGGAUGAAGGGAGCUUGCUCCUGGAUUCAGCGGCGGACGGGUGAGUAAUGCCUAGGAAUCUGCCUGGUAGUGGGGGAUAACGUCCGGAAACGGGCGCUAAUACCGCAUACGUCCUGAGGGAGAAAGUGGGGGAUCUUCGGACCUCACGCUAUCAGAUGAGCCUAGGUCGGAUUAGCUAGUUGGGGGGGUAAAGGCCUACCAAGGCGACGAUCCGUAACUGGUCUGAGAGGAUGAUCAGUCACACGGGAACUGAGACACGGUCCAGACUCCUACGGGAGGCAGCAGUGGGGAAUAUUGGACAAUGGGCGAAAGCCUGAUCCAGCCAUGCCGCGUGUGUGAAGAAGGUCCUCGGAUUGUAAAGCACUUUAAGUUGGGAGGAAGGGCAGUAAGUUAAUACCUUGCUGUUUUGACGUUACCAACAGAAUAAGCACCGGCUAACUUCGUG
rnacentral:rRNA from 1 species